rnacentral:sRNA from 1 species
AGUCCGGUAUUUCCCCCAAUAUGUGUCAGCCAAGAAAGCUCCAAAGAGUGGCGUGAGGUAGCAGGCGCCCGACCAAGCAGAGGAAUUCCUCGCGGCGUUCACUUUGCUCUCGUGGAGAAUCUUGGUGAGGUAGGUCACCAGGUUCUUGGAGAUCCCAUAGUAAGCCAAAUUCUCACUGAAUUCGACACCUGGUUAGGUUGAGUGAUUAACUUUAGUUUGCAAUUUUAGUUCAAAAGGUUGUGAGAAACAGAUAUAUGGAAGAUCAGCGAUUUGAAUUGAAUUGCUGUUGCUAAUUAUUCUUGGUACCUAGGAUCAUGAAGCAUGCUCUCCAAUUCCCCGUGCUGCGCUUGAGAGCAGGCUGGUUGUUGACGUCCACCGAUCCAUCACCUGUAUACUCUGAAUCUGCAUCCCCCUGCAGAAAAAUCAUCCAAACUAUGAGCUGCAGAAGCUGAAACUUGAAGCAAAGAAUCUUGGUGGAUUGUUCGACUUUGUUCCAAUGAUAUGCAUGCAGAAGUCAAGAAGCAAUGGUAGGUAGGUUAGAUACCCGUGAAGGUUGAGGUUGAGGUUGAAGCAGAGGCGCCCUCUCCUCAUCUGCUGCUUCCAUGGCCAUCUACCUGAUGAGAACUAUACCUUGAGAAUUCAGAGUGAGCAGAGAGGAUGGAGUAGGUUGAUGGUGAAGAAUUAGCUGUACGGAGCAGCUCGAUUCCAUGGCAGCAUAGCUACUAGUAGUAGUAGCUGAGCAGGAGGGAGGCAGGGAGAGAUGGAGAGGGGAGGAUAAGAAAUUUUGUGUGCACGGGAAGGAUUGAGGCGUCAGACUGACGUGCACAACACAGUGAUCAUGUAUUGUUGACCUGUAUUAUUUUGUUUUCGUUUCUGCAUGUGCAAUGAUCUGUUCGUCCUAUUGCAGUUAAGUCCCUGUCGCCUCCCUGUGGGUUGGACCUACAAAAAUAAAUAAUAAUUUAGAUCUGGC